UUAUAUAUCUGUACAAUCUUUGAAGUUCUCAGAAUUUGAAAGUUAAUUUUUCUUUCCACAUUUAGGAAUCUUCUGACAUCUUCAACUGCUUUGUGAAGUCUACUACAGUAUACUGCAAGUAAAAUGAUUUCCUAGUCUUCUGAAAAGAAUAUCUUACUCUGCGUUUGUGACAUACGUGCAUCAUCAUGCUUUCCAGUUUCAGACAUAAUGGGCAGCCCUAUGCCCAACAUGAGGCCUGAACUCACCGCCCCAAGACCAAGUGUUGCACACUCCACUGACUGAGUCAGCCAGGCGCCCCGGUUUUUGGUAAUUUCAAAUUUGAUUUAUUUUAUAGUUUGAUAUGCAAACUUAGAGAAAAGUUG
rnacentral:lncRNA from 1 species